rnacentral:rRNA from 1 species
AGCAUAUCAAUAAGCGGAGGAAAAGAAACCAACAGGGAUUGCCCUAGUAACGGCGAGUGAAGCGGCAACAGCUCAAAUUUGAAAUCUGGCCUUCGGGUCCGAGUUGUAAUUUGUAGAGGAUGCUUUUGGCGCGGUGCCUUCCGAGUUCCCUGGAACGGGACGCCUUAGAGGGUGAGAGCCCCGUACGGUUGGACACCAAGCCUCUGUAAAGCUCCUUCGACGAGUCGAGUAGUUUGGGAAUGCUGCUCUAAAUGGGAGGUAAAUUUCUUCUAAAGCUAAAUACCGGCCAGAGACCGAUAGCGCACAAGUAGAGUGAUCGAAAGAUGAAAAGCACUUUGAAAAGAGGGUUAAAUAGCACGUGAAAUUGUUGAAAGGGAAGCGUUUACGGCCAGACCUUUUCCUGGCGGAUCAUCUGGUGUUCUCACCAGUGCACUCCGCCAGGUUUAGGCCAGCAUCGGCUCCCGUAGGGGGAUAAAAGCAGUGGGAAAGUAGCUCCCUCGGGAGUGUUAUAGCCCGCUGCACAAUACCCUUACAGGGGCCGAGGACCGCGCUUUUGCAAGGAUGCUGGCGUAA